CUUUUGCCUCUUUAUCCUUAGCGCCUAGCAUGGUGCCUUGCUCAUGUAGCAGGGGCUUAAUAAACGCCAGUUAGACUGGUUUAGUAGUUUACAGGGAUAGGAUAGAAAACCUUUCUAGGCACCAAUCAGAGCUUUCCCUCACCCCUCCCUUAUUGCAUUAGUAACUCCCGAAACCCCUCCCCGAUUCAAGGCUCCUUUCUAAGGCUCGCAGGAGGAAACCAGAUUUUCCCAAACGGAUCAUCUUCCCAACCCUGACACGCCCAGGCAUUGUGCUAAGCACUUAGGAUUCUAGCACUGGUGACACAAAUACUGCCAAUGUGAAGAAUGGCAAAAAACAGUCCCUACUCUUAAGGAGCUUACAUUCUAAUGAGGAAAACAACAUGUAAAUAAAUAGGUAUAUACAAGUUACAUACAGAAUGGUUGGAAGACAACCUUAUGAGAGGUCCUGUGAUUGUUGGAUUGCCUUCCAUUACAUUGAGGACUCAGAUAUCAGACCUUUCCAGACAAGACCACCAAGAUUCAGCCCAGGAUGAGAGCCUCAUCCCCACUUGAGUGAGAAAAUAAAAUCCACAUUGGAAAUGGGGCAGAUAACUGAGCUUGCUGAUUGUGAAGGUUGUGGCAAUCUCUUGUCCUUUGGCUAGCUGGUUCUCUUCUUGUGGUCCCUGAAUCCUUGUGAGUAGGAGUCUAGGUGAAAACUCCCUUCCCUAUUACUUCAGAAUUUGCUAAGCUUCAUUUGAAUCCGUUCCAGCUCUAUCCCCUCAGGCUCUAUCUGAUCUUAUAUUC